GUGAAUGCUGGCGGUAUGGAUAAGGCAUGCAAGUCGAACGGGUUUAGACCCGUGGCAGACGAGGUAGUAACACGUAGGAACGUCCCCGGAAGUCGGGCAUAACCAGCCGAAAGGUUGGGCAAUUCCCGAUGGUCUCGCAAGAGUAAAGAUUUUUCGCCUCCGGAGCGGCCUGCGUAAUAUCAGCUAGUUGGUAAGGUAAUGGCUUACCAAGGCUAUGACGUUUAGGGGAGGUGAGAGCCUGACCCCCACCGAUGAAACUGAGAACGGUUCAUACCCCUACGGGGGGCCGCAGCCGAGAAUAUUCGACAAUGGGCGAAAGCCUGAUCGAGCGAUACCGCGUGGUGGAUGAAGCGCUUCGGCGCGUAAACACCUUUUAUGGAGGAGGAAGUUAUUGACGUUACUCCAUGAAUAAGGGGCUCCUAACUCUGU
rnacentral:rRNA from 1 species